ensembl:snRNA U6 U6 spliceosomal RNA
GUGCUUGUUUUGGCAGCAUAUACACUAAAACUGAAGCGAUACAGUGAAGAUUAGCAUGGGCCCUGUGCGAGGAUGACACACUAAUUGUGAAACAUUCCAUAAUUGU